AGUGAACGCUGGCGGUAGGCCUAACACAUGCAAGUCGAACGGCAGCACAGUAAGAGCUUGCUCUUACGGGUGGCGAGUGGCGGACGGGUGAGGAAUACAUCGUAAUCUACUUUUUCGUGGGGGAUAACGUAGGGAAACUUACGCUAAUACCGCAUACGACCUACGGGUGAAAGCAGGGGAUCUUCGGACCUUGCGCGAUUGAAUGAGCCGAUGUCGGAUUAGCUAGUUGGCGGGGUAAAGGCCCACCAAGGCGACGAUCCGUAGCUGGUCUGAGAGGAUGAUCAGCCACACUGGAACUGAGACACGGUCCAGGCUCCUACGGGAGGCAGCAGUGGGGAAUAUUGGACAAUGGGCGCAAGCCUGAUCCAGCCAUACCGCGUGGGUGAAGAAGGCCUUCGGGUUGUAAAGCCCUUUUGUUGGGAAAGAAAAGCAGCAGGUUAAUACCCCGCUGUUCUGACGGUACCCAAAGAAUAAGCACCGGCUAACUUCGUG
rnacentral:rRNA from 1 species